GAAAUAAAUAUAUACCAUGUUAAUAGUUUAUUAUUAAAUCCUGCUUUAAUGGAAGUGCAGUUCCUGCUAGUUCGCCGGUGGCGCUAUUGCGCACAGAGUCUGUAUAGACUGCAGCAGAGUUAGGGAGAACUGCUGUGGAUGUGGAUGCUAAAGUUAAACCGUGUUGAUCUCACUGUUACUGCUCGGUGUGCAGGGCAAAAUAAAAUCCUCCUCAUCCGA